AUACGUAGGUGGCAAGCGUUGUCCGGAUUUACUGGGCGUAAAGAGUAUGUAGGUCGGAUAUUUAAGUCAGAUGUGAAAUUCCCGGGCUUAACCUGGGAGCUGCAUUUGAUACUGGAUAUCUAGAGUGCGGGAGAGGAAAGUGGAACUCCUAGUGUAGCGGUGAAAUGCGUAGAGAUUAGGAAGAACACCAGUGGCGAAGGCGACUUUCUGGACCGUAACUGACGCUGAGGCUCGAAAGCGUGGGGAGC
rnacentral:rRNA from 1 species